CUAACCUUUCUAUUCCUCUUCCCUCAUUCUAACAACACCACAAAACCAAAACAACUAGCAGUAAUCUACCCCCCCCCCCCCCUUCCCACUUCACUUCCUCACAUAACAACAGGCCCUUUCUUCAAUUAUCUUUAUCUCUUCACAAAAACUAAUCCCUCUCUUUUUCAAACAACCAACUCCCACCAGCAACCUUCGUUAAUCAACCUACAACUCCCUUUCAUACUUCACCCUACCUACUGUACAAACCUUAUUGUUUCACCAUAUACUCAAAUCACCCUUCAUCCUUCAAUUCAUCCCAAACUCCCUUUCGCCGUAACAACAUCUAAUCGUCCCUUCAUCAACAUCAUCGCCCUUGUUAACAAAAUUUAA